ensembl:lncRNA
AAAGCAGAGUAACAGCAGAACGAGAAACACCACGUGAAUCGACAGCUAUAACAAGAGACCGUGCUGCUCAGAUCUGAUCGCUCCCUAAUUCAGAAACUUGGCCGUUAGAGAAGCGAGAGCCGCUGAAGUGCAUUGUGGGAGUGUAAAGACUGUGACAAACUAACCAACGGGAUGCCAGUAAUGAGUGCGCAGGCAACCAGCACGCAUUCCAACCUAAAUGGUGAGAAGCAGCAGAGCAGUCCUCAGUCCGAGGACGAGCCCACGACCCCGAAAGUCCGGCCCAACCCCAAGUACCAGCUCUACCUGGGCUCCAACGGCUCCAGCAGCUCCAACGGGGCCAACGGGUCCAACGGGGCCCUGCUGAGGGCCAGUCCGGUGAGCCGAGGGUCCAUGGAGUCGCUGUCGUCCCGGGACGGGGACAGUAUGUCCGACAGAACGAGUGGCUUUGAAAGUCCUCCCCGAGGUUUCAUCAGUCCGUAUUCAACGCUCUCGCUGGACUACAAUCCCUUCAACAGAACGUCUGACUUUAAGACACAGGAAGUGAUGUCACCCACCGUCUCUGAGAUGAACCUGUUCGGUCUGAACAGAAGCGUGAGUCCCGUUAACAGUCCGGGUCUGAGCCACCGCACACGGAUCCCUGGAUACGACAGUCUGACCCGCCGACGAGACGCGACUCCAAGUCAACUCAUGCAACGAAACAACCAAACCAAACCGAACAAACUGGACUUUAUCCAGGAACUGACCAAACAGCUGGAGGACUGCCGCAGGAGGAACCAGUUUCUGGAAGCGGAGAGCAUCGAGAUGGAGAAGGAGAGGAACCAGAUCCGCUUCGAGAUGCGAGGUCUGCUGGUGAACAACGAAGACCUGCUGCGGACGAACACUCAGCUGCAGGGCGAGACGAACCGUCUGCGCGAGAACAUCGUGGAGUUAGAGAGCAACAACAACGUCCUGCAGGAGCGCUUCAGACAGAUAGAGAAAGAGCUGAAGGAGGCGCGGGAGGUGAUGGCCGAGGCAAACACUCAGGAAUACGCCUUCAGCUUCCUGCAGCAGACGCUCAAGAACCAAAUAAAGGACACUGAGGUGAAAUCACAAACAAACAUGCUCUCGCUUUCGAAGACCAAAAAUGCUAUUUCUUUUAUUGUUUUUAUAUUUACUGUAUUAUUAUUUUGUUCAUUUAUUUUAUUUUAUUAUUAUAUUAUAUAAAUUUUUUAUUAUUACUUAUUUAUUUUAUAAUAUACCAUUUU